AAAGAGUGCGUAAUAGCUCACUGGUCGAGUGUGCCGCGGCGCCGACAAUCCACCGGGGCUCAAGCCCGUGACCGAAGCCGCGGAUAGAAGACGAGAGUCUUGUAUGGUAGGGGAGCGUCCCCGUCAGCAGUGAAGCGAAGGUGGGAACCGACGUGGAGCGGCGGGGAGUGCGAAUGUCGGCAUGAGUAGCGAGAGGGGGGGGCGA
rnacentral:rRNA from 1 species